GCUUAUUCGAGUGUUGAAACAAAUCGAUAAGUUUGUUCCGGAGGACGAUAAGCUGGAAAUCGAAUCGUGUUUAUUCCAGCUGCGUUCGACCAAGGACGUAAUGGAGGCCAUCGCUGCGUCCCAAUGCUUUGGAAAUCAGUGCAACCUUACAUCGGUAUUCAAUCGAUUGAAGAUUACCGAAAGCCAUGGCCGUCGUAUUGCAGAAACUUAAACUGGACUACGAGCCUUCAGCGGAAUCUAGCUUCAUUUCUUUCUCCAAACAACUUCCCUUCGGAGGGUUGCUCGGCGUGCAGCUGCUCACGGAGACCGUUCGCCAGAUGAUCCAGCUGCGCUACAUGGUGGUGCGCAAUCUGAUUGUGCUGCAGCACUUGCUGCUGAACAACUUCGCCCUCAAUUGCAACGCCAUGGAAAUCAUUCGCUCCAAGUGCAUUCCGGACAGUGAAGUUUUCCUGCAGUCGUACUACGUCAUGAACUGGAUUGCAGAGUCGACGGUGGACUAUGCGGCCGUUAGAAGCAAAUCUCUGGAAAGCGACGUCUCGUUGGUAAUCGGUUAUGAGGAGGCGUAUGCGUUCGAAUACAUAUCCCUGUUGCAUCUGUUUGUGGCCACACGGGGAUUGAAAACCUGCAUGGCAUCCGAAGAGGGUCAACGCAUCGCGUCCAGUUCCGAGUGGUUCUCAGUAUUGCUGGAUAUCUCCAACGGUUUAUUGCGGCUUAUAUGGCCAGUGGCAGGGGAUUUUACGUUUGGACAAUGGCUAAUGCAGGGAGAAAUGCACACCUUCAUUGAGGAAUACGUUCGUUUGCUCAACUCUUGGUGUGAAUGGAACAACUGUUCACGUAAUUUCAUCCUGGCCAAAUCGUACCUGAUGAACGGAGAGAAUGCGAAAGCUCUGGACCUGUUCCCCCAAUCCGCGAAGGGAAUCCUCAAGGAACCGUAUCUCAUAAACUUCACCAAACCUUCCGAUUCGUCAUCGGUACCGCCCGACGAGAUGCUCAGCAUAUUCUACCUGAAGGUCAUUCGUCUGUUUGAACAUUAUGGCGCGUACGACUGCAUCAACGUUUUGGCGCAGAUUGCAAUCGGCACGUCUGUUCACAGCAAGCAACAGGCCAUGUUCCAAAGUAUCGACUUCAGCAGCCACAUGGAGUUGGGCCACUACGAGGAAGCGUACCAUUCGUUGGUGUACAAUUGCGAGAUCACGAGGAAGAAGGAUUGCUUGCGGCAACUGGUGUGGCGGCUGUUCCAAGCGAAAAAAUUCAACGUGUUGGUGGACCUGCCAUAUUAUGGCUUGGAGGCCGAUUUCCAGAACAUUAUGGAAAUGCACGCCCGUUCGGUGGAAAUUUCGGAAAAUAGUCACUAUGAUUUCCUGUAUUCGUACCACAUUCUGCAGGGAAAUAUGCGGAAAGCUGCCCUGAUUGCAUACGAAAAAGCAAUGCGAUGUCACCUAGAGUGCAACUCGUUGGUAUUCUUGAAGAUGCGCUGCGAAGCAUUGCUCAAGUGUAUCAACGCUCUCAAUCUGGUGGUUCCUGAGUACGCUUGGAUUGCAAAGCCAUCUAUUUUCAAGGAAAGCAAAUCGCAAGAAGAGUCGACUCCACAGAUCGAGGUGAUUAGUCUGCAGGACGUUCGUAAGGAACUGAUGGUAACCGAAGCAGUAUUGGAAAUCUCCAAACAUUUGGAUGAUUAUCGGGCGGUUCUCGACGUGGACACCAACGAACUGAUUAUCAUUCUGGCCAACUCUAAACUGUAUUCGACGGCUUUCAAAUUGGCCCACGCACUGGACAAAAGCGUUUUGCCGGUGUACGAAAGUUUGGCGACGUCCGUGUGUUAUGUGCAGUCUACAGGAAUCCGCCGACAAUUGGGAUUGGUUACAUAAGAACAAUUUAGCAGAUUCAGUUAUCAGCCAAGACAGCACGGAUACCGCAUGGAAAUUUUUGCAGCAUUGCUUAUCGAAUGAAACUAAGGACCAAGAAGCGUGUCACGUCAUGGCUAUGAAUCAGAUCAUUUCGAAAAAUGCUUUUCCACCGCAGUGGCUAACCGACUGGUGUAUGAACAAGACGCCAACAAAGCUUCUGCAGCUCUACAUCAACUACGGUCGCUUAGAGGAAGCUUUCGACAUUGCCGUGAAGUUGAUCCAAGCGCAGCUGAUAAGGCCGCAGUUCGAUUACGGCGUUGCAUUUCAAUCGAUUCCUACUCCCGGUCACAUUGAUUGAUCGGCUUCAAUAUGAGCUUAGCAAGGAGGUUAAAUUUCAAGAGAAAACCAAUCUGCUGGGUCAACUUAUCGGUUGCAUAGCGAAGUAGGUAACUAAUCUAAUGUUUAUAGCAUACGAAAGUAAUUUUCUUUAAAAAUGUAUUUCAAUUUCCUCAACUUGAA